rnacentral:lncRNA from 1 species
CGAAUACUCAAGAGCUUUCUCCUCUCCUUUCUCUUCUCUAACUUUCAGCUAUGAUGAACAAAGAUGGACAAAACUUUGUUCUUUUCACCCCUUUUUCUUUUAAUAAAACUUCAUAUUUCAUCCAUUUAAUUCUUUAAUACAAAAGACAUGAAAUUCUUAUCAUGAAACAUUUACUUAACCCAUUAUCAUGAAACAUUUAC